GACCGACUGGUCUAGUGGUAUGAUUUUAGCUUUGGAUGCCAGAGGUCCCGGGUUCAAUCCCCGGUUCGCCCU
rnacentral:tRNA from 1 species